rnacentral:misc_RNA from 1 species
GAACGCACCUUGCGCUCCUUGGUAUUCCGAGGAGCAUGCCUGUUUGAGUGUCAUUAAAUUCUCAACCUUAUUAGCUUUUGUUAAUAAUGGAUUGGAUGUGGGGGUUUCUUUUGCUGGUUUCAUCACAGAGAUCAGCUCCCCUUAAAUGCAUUAGCUGGUGCCCCGCGUGGACCAUCUAUUGGUGUGAUAAUUAUCUACGCCGUGGAUGUCUGCAAUCAUAUGGGUUUUGCACUGCUUCUAACCGUCUGUUCAUUCGGACAAUACAUGACAAUUUGACCUCAAAUCAGGUAGGACUACCCGCUGAACUUAAG